rnacentral:rRNA from 1 species
UACGUAGGGUGCAAGCGUUAAUCGGAAUACUGGGCGUAAAGCGUGCGCAGGCGGUUUUGUAAGUUUGUCGUGAAAUCCCCCGGGCUCAACCUGGGAAUGGCGAUGAAGACUGCAAGGCUAGAAUCUGGCAGAGGGGGGUAGAAUUCCACGUGUAGCAGUGAAAUGCGUAGAGAUGUGGAGGAACACCGAUGGCGAAGGCAGCCCCCUGGGUCAAGAUUGACGC